AGACAUUCAUUUCCCAUCUUCUCACCUGGCAUUUUGAGAUAAUCACUGGCUACUCUUUGGACUCUGGUCCCUGAAAAGGAGCCAGUUUGCUUCCUGAACUAAACCAGUGCCCUGAGAUGGAAGCAGGAUAUUAUAUAAACCACCACCACAAACAGCAUACCAGGAAAACACAACUCAGAUCUUCCUGGCUCUUCCACUAGCUGUGAGACAUGGGGCAAGGCUCCAGAUUCAGCUGGGCCUUUAUUAACCAGCCCUGGAGUUAAAUCAUCAACCCAGAGGUCUGUCCUAGCCCUGGAGCCCAAGGAGACCCCUGAUUAUGCAGCAAGCAGGGCUGAAGUUUCCAUUUAAUUUUUGCAUCACAUCUUUAGCACUAUUGGACAUCCUAGAAACCUCAUUCACAAGAUUUCAAGUUUGAAGUGAUAGUGUUUGCUACCAGAGCCCCUUUUCUGUCAAAGAAAUUAGAAGCAGGAAGGUUGAUGCAUUCCCCCACAGAAAGAAAAGAGGUCUUUUAGAAUAAUGUGAAACUCACACUCUGCAUGGGGACAGACUUUUGUAUUUCUGAUGACUGGAUGACUCCACCUGGACCCGAGACUCAUGACUCACCCAGUCCUGUGGCCCCACCCAGAAGUGGACUCAGAGCAAGAGGACCAUUUUCCACACCCCAAUGAGUGCAUCCCCAACCAAUCAGCAGCACCUGUUCCCUAGCCCCCUGACCACCAAACUCUCCUUGAGAAACCGUAGCCUCCAAAUUUUCUGGGAGGCUGAUUUGAGUAAUAAUAAAACUUUGGUCUCCUAUGUAGCUGGCUCUAUGUGUAUUAAACUCUUCCUCUAUUGCAAUUCCCCUGCCUUGGUAAGUCGG
rnacentral:lncRNA from 10 species